rnacentral:rRNA from 1 species
GAUGAACGCUGGCGGCGUGCCUUAUACAUGCAAGUCGAGCGAACAGACGAGGAGCUUUCUUCUCUGACGUUAGCGGCGGACGGGUGAGUAACACGUGGAUAACCUACCUAUAAGACUGGGAUAACUUCGGGAAACCGGAGCUAAUACCGGAUAAUAUAUUGAACCGCAUGGUUCAAUAGUGAAAGACGGUUUUGCUGUCACUUAUAGAUGGAUCCGCGCCGGAUUAGCUAGUUGGUAAGGUAACGGCCUACCAAGGCGACGAUGCGUAGCCGACCUGAGAGGAUGAUCGGCCACACUGGAACUGAGACACGGUCCAGACUCCUACGGGAGGCAGCAGUAGGGAAUCUUCGGCAAUGGGGGAAAGCCUGACGGAGCAACGCCGCGUGAGUGAUGAAGGCCUUCGGGUCGUAAAGCUCUGUUAGUAGGGAAGAACAAAUGUGUAAGAAUCUAUGCACGUCUUGACGGUACCUAAACAGAAAGCCACGGCUAACUACGUG